AUCCAUACAGCACAAAUCAGAUCUGCCUUUUCCACGCCUUUUAUUUUCUCUCCAUCUUUCUUGCUGGCUCCUUCAGGUCCUGGAAGGCCUCAGUUGGGUUCCUCCAGUGCUGGGGCAGGUUUUUGUGACAGGCUUUUUGUGGCUCCUGAAGUGGGAUCCAAAGGAAAAUUCCAGUUCAUGGAGGGGAGGGCAAGGAGGACCCUGUGGGCAAAUGUAGACUGAAAGAGGAAAAGGCAACAAAUCCAUCCUGGGCUGCUUUUAAAGCAGAUUCCUUCUGGAUUUAUCUGUGGCACACCCUGCCCAGCAGGAGGGAAGAGGAGAAACCUCAGAAUUCCAGCAGAACCAGCCAAGGUGACUCUUGGAAUGGCUUUGAGCACUUAACUCACUGCUGGGAACCCUCUGGAGAUGCAGCUUCCAAGAGAAAUGGGCACUGCAAAAUGAGCACUAAAUCCAUCCUUUGCACCUGGACAGGAGGGAGAUCUGUGGCACAGCUUCCAUGGAAAAGCAAAACACACCCAGGAUCCCAACAAGGCCCUUCUGUGCUGCUCUGUUCUUCCCUGACCAAAACGAAGCAGCACCUUCUGGCUGUCCAGGCUGACAUCCAGGCAGCUGGAAGCUCUCAGGAAAACUUGGAAGCUGCCAAGUCACCAUUUCCAGCAUGACCUGAGUCCAUGAAAUAACCAAAGGAUUUUGUUACUGCAUCAUCUGCAGCAUUCCUGCUGCUGCUGCAUCUCCAGGCUCAGAGCCAGCUGGGUUUAUGUGGCACUGGUGGCAGCACAAACUGGCCUUUGGAAAGAUGGAACUUCUUUCCUUAUCCUGCAAAUUUGGUCGAGAAAACUCCACAUUUAAAAGGAGCCAAAGCUGCUGCUUCAGGAAUGACUGGAAUGUCCCCUCCGUGCCCCUGAUUCCUUUCACAUCCCUCAAGGUUAUGAUUUUUUAAAUUAUAAUUAAAAAAAAACAGCUCAUCUUAAGAGGAUCACUGAAAUGCCAGCUGUGAAUUGUGAUUCCUGCCUGGAUUGCCAUUUUCUGGAUGGGUUUGAAGUCAUGGAAAGGGGAGCUUUGUUUGGGAAGUUCAGCUACAACAGGACCUGGCUGUGGUCCCCUGGUGCAGGAAGCCACCCUUGGCUUGGUGGCUGCUCAGGGGAGGAAUGACCUUCCAGCCCUGAUGGGCAUCCCUUGGUCUCAUCCUGCUCCUAAAUCCCUCUGGAAAAGAAACCUCACCCUCUGGAAGCUGAUCCUUCAGAAAAUUCCAUGGGACUGGCAACCCUGGAAGUGCCAAUUGGGGUUUUGUUACAGAAGGAAAGCAAAAUGUGGUUUUUUUUCCCCUCCAUCAAAUAACAUCAUAAAUGUUGUCUCCUCCUUGUCCACAGGGCAUGGAGCAGUUGGGAUUGUUUGGAUCACAAAAUCCAAUUAAAGCAGGCAGAGAGGUUGGGCUGAAAGCUGCUGCUCCCUUUCCUGCCAGCACCACCCACCUCCCUUCCCUGGAAAAGCCAAAUCCCAUUACCCCAGGUGGGAGCAGCUCCUCCCUGCUCAGGCCAGCCAACCCUGGAGGGUGGAAAAGUCCUGCAGCACCAUUCCAGCAUCUCCCUGUCCCCACAUCCCACGCUCCCUGCAAGCUGGAGCUGCUCUGAGCUUCCUGUUUGGGAUUGGAAGCAAAUAUUGCCCUUGGUGUGCUCCCAGCACAGCUCCAGCUCCAGGAGUGCUGGGCAACUUCUGCUGGAUGUUCUUCCAAACAUCAUCCAGGGGCACAGCCAGAUCCUGCAGAAGAGGAGGAAAAAACACUGGAAUUGCAGCUCUAUGGAUACAGGAAGUCCUGGUUGGAAUUUCACUGGAAACCUCUGGGUUUGAGCAGCUCCACAGCAGCCUCUGCCCACCUGGGGGGACUCCAGCACCUGGAGGGGCUCCUGGCAGCACACU